rnacentral:rRNA from 6 species
AGAGUUUGAUCAUGGCUCAGAUUGAACGCUGGCGGCAGGCCUAACACAUGCAAGUCGAGCGGUAGCACAGAGAGCUUGCUCUCGGGUGACGAGCGGCGGACGGGUGAGUAAUGUCUGGGAAACUGCCUGAUGGAGGGGGAUAACUACUGGAAACGGUAGCUAAUACCGCAUAAUGUCGCAAGACCAAAGUGGGGGACCUUCGGGCCUCAUGCCAUCAGAUGUGCCCAGAUGGGAUUAGCUAGUAGGUGGGGUAACGGCUCACCUAGGCGACGAUCCCUAGCUGGUCUGAGAGGAUGACCAGCCACACUGGAACUGAGACACGGUCCAGACUCCUACGGGAGGCAGCAGUGGGGAAUAUUGCACAAUGGGCGCAAGCCUGAUGCAGCCAUGCCGCGUGUGUGAAGAAGGCCUUCGGGUUGUAAAGCACUUUCAGCGGGGAGGAAGGCGAUAAGGUUAAUAACCUUGUCGAUUGACGUUACCCGCAGAAGAAGCACCGGCUAACUCCGUGCCAGCAGCCGCGGUAAUACGGAGGGUGCAAGCGUUAAUCGGAAUUACUGGGCGUAAAGCGCACGCAGGCGGUCUGUCAAGUCGGAUGUGAAAUCCCCGGGCUCAACCUGGGAACUGCAUUCGAAACUGGCAGGCUAGAGUCUUGUAGAGGGGGGUAGAAUUCCAGGUGUAGCGGUGAAAUGCGUAGAGAUCUGGAGGAAUACCGGUGGCGAAGGCGGCCCCCUGGACAAAGACUGACGCUCAGGUGCGAAAGCGUGGGGAGCAAACAGGAUUAGAUACCCUGGUAGUCCACGCCGUAAACGAUGUCGAUUUGGAGGUUGUGCCCUUGAGGCGUGGCUUCCGGAGCUAACGCGUUAAAUCGACCGCCUGGGGAGUACGGCCGCAAGGUUAAAACUCAAAUGAAUUGACGGGGGCCCGCACAAGCGGUGGAGCAUGUGGUUUAAUUCGAUGCAACGCGAAGAACCUUACCUGGUCUUGACAUCCACAGAACUUAGCAGAGAUGCUUUGGUGCCUUCGGGAACUGUGAGACAGGUGCUGCAUGGCUGUCGUCAGCUCGUGUUGUGAAAUGUUGGGUUAAGUCCCGCAACGAGCGCAACCCUUAUCCUUUGUUGCCAGCGGUCCGGCCGGGAACUCAAAGGAGACUGCCAGUGAUAAACUGGAGGAAGGUGGGGAUGACGUCAAGUCAUCAUGGCCCUUACGACCAGGGCUACACACGUGCUACAAUGGCAUAUACAAAGAGAAGCGACCUCGCGAGAGCAAGCGGACCUCAUAAAGUAUGUCGUAGUCCGGAUUGGAGUCUGCAACUCGACUCCAUGAAGUCGGAAUCGCUAGUAAUCGUAGAUCAGAAUGCUACGGUGAAUACGUUCCCGGGCCUUGUACACACCGCCCGUCACACCAUGGGAGUGGGUUGCAAAAGAAGUAGGUAGCUUAACCUUCGGGAGGGCGCUUACCACUUUGUGAUUCAUGACUGGGGUGAAGUCGUAACAAGGUAACCGUAGGGGAACCUGCGGUUGGAUCACCU